ensembl:lncRNA
CUCUGUACCUUUCCUCUCCCUUAUCACCUUAGACCCAAUCCAGGUAGAGAGUGGGGAGAAGCAUUCUCUCACUGUGUGGAUUUCAAAUGAAUCACCCUAAGUUAUUGUCACAUGCUUUUCUUCUUUCACUGACUCCCCCUGCCAGUUGUUGUGCUUGUUUGUAAAGAUCAUAUCGGAAAUACUCUUUGAUAUUUAUUUUUUUGUUUCACCUCUGCUUACAUAUGCAUAAUUGAAGGAGCAGGUCAUUUUCAGGGGACGCCAAUUAGAUCUUGGAAACCUAAUGGUUUCUUUUCCUUCCCUAUUCAGUUAUUGUUACAGAAGUUAAUUAGGAUCACUUCUGAAUUUAGAACCAAAUCUAAUUGGUUAGAUGUUAUUAAUAUUCUCGAUACCAGGUCUAAGUCCAGUGACCACUUCAUUCUCUUUUUAAAACUUUAUGCCCCCUCCAUUCCUGCCUCCAAAGAGAAUGCAGUAUUUUUUAAAAACUCAUUAUUUUUUUCUCCCAAAGGAAUAUUAACUUAGAAAGAUAGGAAUUCAACACUGGUGGACAGUGAGUUUUCUUCCUGGCUCUGUCAUUGAUCCACUGUCAGCCCCAUUGCCCCUUCUCUUAAUCUAUUAAAUGGAGGUAAUGAUACAUGUUCUCAAGGAUGUUUUGCAAAUAAGUGUAUAAUUAUCCCUUUGAGAGCCCCUCUGGAAAGCUUUUUAGUGCUGUUUUAAAACUGCUGAGAUUAUACUAAUCAGGCUAAGGGGAAAAAUGGUUUUGGACAGAGUUUGGCAUCUUUGACCAAGAAGAAAUUUUAGUUUUCAUUAGAAAGAAAGGAAUUGAUUCUUUCUAUGGGUGUUCCAGAGGAGUCCCAGGCAAAAAGAAUAAGAAGCAGGGAGGAGACAGUAUUGGGCAUUCCUUUCAGGGGUUGGGUGGUCCCUCUUGACUGUUACUCGUUGGUGGAACACAGGCAACCGGAGAUCUGGCUGAUCUCUUUGUACUGUUUAGAAGAGUUCCUUUAACUUGGAUUUGAAAACCAACAGUCCUCUGGCCACCUGCUUCUUUGCCACUCUCCUUCAUCAUAUACUUCCAUAAACUUGAAAUUGUUUUAGCAAUUAGCCUUUUAAGGGUGGGGCAGGGAAAGCUAAAACUUUAGAAUAUUAUUAUGCUGCUUUUUAAGUUUAUCCCUGUCAUUGUGGAUGCAAGUUGAGGGAUUAGAAUUGUUUUUCAGGGGAUUUUCUUUCUUUCUUUUUUUUUUUUUUAAAGCAAGGGGUCUUUUCUUGAGAGCUCUGAAAAUAAGCCUUGGAGGAACACUACUGAGUGUAUUUAAGCUCCCUGGUUUUCUCACCGAAGAGCAGUCUUUGAGGGUGAGGGCUGGGUCUUACUCAGGGGUAGCACCUGGCUCUGUCUCAUUCAUAGUAGGUGCUCAGUAUGUCCAUGGGUGGAUUUUCAUUUUUCCCUCAACACUGUCAAGAGUAGCAUUGACUGUUGCACCAUACUCCAUCCACGUGAUGCUUUAACUGCAGCUUCAGGAGUUGAGGGCUCAGGGUUCGGGUUAAAGAGACACUGUCAACUUACUAUGAAAAUGUAACUUAGGUUUUUUUCCUUUUUCUACUUGAAAGGGACCAGAUUUUUAAAAAACUAACCAUAUAUAAAUUUAAACAUUUGAAUUCAAAGCAGAGAAAAUUACUUUUAGAAACUAAAAAUGUAGUUUAAUUCUGUCUAGUUUAAAAACAAAGCAGACAGCAAAAGCAAAAGCCCUUCUACAAGGUGUUGAAAACUUUCUAAAGUGGUUACAUGUGUGCGUCCCUUUGGGGUUGCCACAGACGGAGUCUUCUCAUGUACAGAUCAUACGAUUUCAGUUUAGAUUUACUACCUUACAAUGCAGUGUUGUGUAACAUGCAUCUUGUUUGUGCUUUACAUGAAGUAUUUUCUUAAAAGGCUUUGUGUACAAUUAAAAUGUGUAUAUUUUCCUACAGAUCUCCAUUGUGACUUUCAGAGAUAUAGCCUUAAGAAAAAAAUUG